rnacentral:rRNA from 1 species
UGGGGGAUAUUGCACAAUGGGGGGAACCCUGAUGCAGCGACGCCGCGUGGGUGAAGAAGCGCCUCGGCGCGUAAAGCCCUGUCAGCAGGGAAGAAAAUGACGGUACCUGAA